rnacentral:lncRNA from 1 species
CUUGUUUGUUUAUGUUUCUCCCCGGAUCAAGCUUAAAAACUGCAAUGACACUUGUGGGAAAAUAAUUAAGCACAGCACCCUGCUGAAUCCAUUUCAAAUUCUUGCUGUUUGCCAAAGUCCAAUGAAACAGGCAGUCAGCUGGAUUCAGUGUCUACUGAAUAACUUUUUGGCUCGACCUAUUUGGACUCAUACCAAAUCACAAACGUUUCCAAUGUAAUGCCUUUUGUAAAAGGCGAAAGAUUUCUACGAUCUGAAGAGAAACCGGAGUGCAUUGGUUUAUUUUUGCACAUAAGUAAUAGGCAAAGAGCAUAAGAACUUAGUAAACUGUUUUAGUACAGAGACAGAGGAAGACCUUUGGUUCAUCUAGCUCAGUAAUGUCUGCACGGACUGGCAGCAACUACCCUGGGUUCAAGGUGGGAACAUUCCCAGCCAUGCCUGUAGAUGUUGCUGGAGUUUAGUCCUGGGAUCUGCUGCAUACAAGGCAGAUCUUCUUCUUCUUUUUUUUUCUUCAAUAAUUUUUUAUUAAAUUUUUAAACAAACCACUUGUUUUCAGUCCAACAUCACUCUAACAUUCCUUAAUUUUGCAGUGUUUCUGAAGAUAGUCUUUGAAUUUCUUCCAAUCUUCCUCCAUCGACUCUUCUCCCUGGUCACGGAUUCUACCAGUCAUUUCCGCCAAUUCCAUAUAGUCCAUAAGUUUCAUCUGCCAUUCCUCCAGCGUGGGAAGUUCUUGUGUCUUCCAAUACUUUGCGAUAAGUAUUCUUGCUGCUGUUGUUGCAUACGUAAAGAAAGUUCUAUCCUUUUUUAACACCAUUUGGCCUACUAUGCCCAGGAGAAAGGCCUCUGGUUUCUUAGGGAAGGUAUACUUAAAUACCUUUUUUAAUUCAUUAUAUAUCAUUUCCCAGAAAGCCUUAAUCUUUGGGCACGUCCACCAAAGGUGAAAAAUGUACCUUCAGUUUCUUUACAUUUCCAACAUUUGUUAUCGGGCAAGUGAUAGAUUUUCGCAAGCUUGACUGGGGUUAUGUACCACCUGUAUAUCAUUUUCAUAAUAUUCUCUCUUAAGGCAUUACAUGCCGUAAAUUUCAUACCUGUGGUCCAUAACUGUUCCCAGUCAGCAAACAUAAUGUUAUGGCCAACGUCCUGUGCCCAUUUAAUCAUAGCCGAUUUUACCGUUUCAUCUUGAGUAUUCCAUUUCAGCAGCAAGUUAUACAUUCUUGACAAGUUCUUAGUAUUGGGUUCUAACAGUUCUGUUUCUAAUUUGGAUCUUUCCACCUGGAAGCCAAUUUUCCUGUCCAAUUUAAAUACCUCCAUUAUUUGAUAAUAAUGAAGCCAGUCUCGCACUUUGUUUUUAAUUUUUCAAAACUCUGCAAUUUCAGUCUAUCUCCGUCUUGUUCCAAAAUUUCCCAAUAUUUCGGCCAUUUGACCUCCAUAUUGACCUUUUUCAAGGCUUUCGCUUCCAUUGGUGACAGCCACCUUGGGGUUUUAUUUUCUAGCAAAUCCUUAUAUCUUAUUCAAACAUUAAACAGCGCUUUCCUGACAAUGUGGUUUUUAAAUGCUUUAUGUGCCUUGACCUUAUCAUACCAUAAAUAUGCAUGCCAUCCAAAUACAUUAUUAAAACCUUCUAGAUCCAAAAUGUCAGUGUUUUCAAGAAGUAGCCAUUCUUUCAACCAGCAAAAAGCUGCUGAUUCAUAGUACAGUUUAAGGUCUGGCAGGGCAAAUCCACCUCUUUCCUUUGCAUCCGUUAGUAUUUUAAAUUUUAUUCUGGGCUUCUUGCCCUGCCAGACAAUCUAGAAAUAUCUUUCUGCCACCUCUUGAAACAAUCCAUUUUGUCCACGAUCUGCAAAGUUUGAAACAAAAACAACAUUCUAGGCAAUACAUUCAUCUUUGAAUGCGAUACGGCCUAGCAGUGAAAGCUUCAAAUCUGACCAAAUUUCUAAAUCUUUUUUCACUUCUGACCAACAUUUUUCAUAGUUAUCUUUAAAUAAAUUCCCAUUUUUUGCUGUCAUGUUAAUCCCCAGGUAUUUAACUUUCUUAACCACUGUUAACCACUGUUAAACCUGUCUCAUUCUGAAACCUCUCUCUUUCAAACGGUGUUAAAUUUUUCUCUAGAACCUUGGUUUUUGACUUGUUCAAUUUAAAUCCUGCCACUUGACCAAAUUCUUGAAUCAGUUCUAAAACCCUUUUUGUACUAGAUUCUGGCUCCUGUAACAUCAAUACUAAGUCAUCUGCAAAUGCUCUCAAUUUAUAGUGUUUAGUUCCGACCUGUAUACCUUUAACCAUCUGGUCCCUUCUAAUCAUAUUCAGCAACACCUCCAGGACCGCAUACAAGGCAGAUCUUCUACCCCUGAGCUCUCACUCUUCCCUGAAGUAGGAUUCUAGUCCUUAUGGUUCUGAAUUAAGGACUGUGCUAAACAGGAACAUCAGAAGCUGCCUUACAGAGGGUUAGACUGCCAACUGUUACGGAAAUUACCGGGGAUGGGGGCACAUCUUUAAAGUUAAAUAUUACAAAUAUUAUGCCUGAAUGUAUCCUUUCAACUUGACAGCUCAGGGAAGUUACCUAGCUUAAAAAAUAAUAUAAAAUCAUCUCCUUUCCCAGUUUCCUCCAUCCCAAAGCUAUUUUCCCCUUGAAAAGGGACUCCAGGAAGUUCCCAGAGGUGACAAUUGCUGGGCUCAUUGUUAGCCAAAGGAAGCCAGAUCUCAUCACCUGACUCACCUCAGGCUCCAGACAUGCAAAGGAACUUCCAUUGUACGGUUGGGUGGUGGGUACUUAAGACAUACAUGUUUGUCUAUGCUAAUCUUAUAC